UAUUUAAUUAAGGGGCAACCCUUAACUGGCCGAUUAGGGAAAAACCGAGAGGUUCAAGCCUAGGGGGCAGAAAGUUUCGCGGAGUAGCGCUAAAAUCGCGAAGCGUGGGCAUGGCGGUAGCGCAUACAACGACGUGCCAA
rnacentral:ncRNA from 1 species